rnacentral:lncRNA from 1 species
GGCAGAUGUGGCUGUGGCCAGCAGAUCCAUGGUUCUGGACUUGAGCCAUGGAGUCAGAAACAGCCUUUGCCUCCCAGGUAUUGAAUGCCUGAGCCAUCAGCCUGUGCCUAAGUCAGGACUGAAGAGGCCUCGGGGGAGCAACCUGCCACCCUGUCCCUGUUUAAUUCCUGCCUCUCCUACAUGCUGCACACAGGUUCAGAGCCCACAUGGCUUCACUCCACAACGGAAAAGGGCAAAGGGUAAAUAUCCGUAUGUUCCAAAGCCAAGCAGGAAGAAGGUUAUGACAGUAAACUGCAGGAGAUGAACAGAGACUACCAGGUACUAAUUUGGAUGGACUGACCAAGAAAGAACAAAGGCACCAGGCAGUAAGAGCCAAGUUCUGCUCUGUCUGUGGGAGGCAC